rnacentral:rRNA from 1 species
CGCGGCCUAUCAGCUUGUUGGUGAGGUAAUGGCUCACCAAGGCGACGACGGGUAGCCGGCCUGAGAGGGUGACCGGCCACACUGGGACUGAGACACGGCCCAGACUCCUACGGGAGGCAGCAGUGGGGAAUAUUGCACAAUGGGCGCAAGCCUGGUGCAGCAACGCCGCGUGAGGGAUGACGGCCUUCGGGUUGUAAACCUCUUUUAGUAGGGAAGAAGCGCAAGUGACGGUACCUGCAGAAAAAGCACCGGCUAACUACGUGCCAGCAGCCGCGGUAAUACGUAGGGUGCAAGCGUUGUCCGGAAUUAUUGGGCGUAAAGAGCUCGUAGGCGGCUUGUCGCGUCUGCUGUGAAAACCCGAGGCUCAACCUCGGGCUUGCAGUGGGUACGGGCAGGCUAGAGUGCGGUAGGGGAGAUUGGAAUUCCUGGUGUAGCGGUGGAAUGCGCAGAUAUCAGGAGGAACACCAAUGGCGAAGGCAGAUCUCUGGGCCGUAACUGACGCUGAGGAGCGAAAGCAUGGGGAGCGAACAGGAUUAGAUACCCUGGUAGUCCAUGCCGUAAACGUUGGGAACUAGAUGUAGGGCCUGUUCCACGGGUUCUGUGUCGUAGCUAACGCAUUAAGUUCCCCGCCUGGGGAGUACGG